rnacentral:lncRNA from 7 species
GGAGCAGUUCAUGUUGAAGAAAAUUAAUUUGCAUGGUUGCAAAAUCAGAACUGAUUGAAGAAAAGGAAGACUUCUUUGCUAAACUGACUUGCUAAAUGAGUGAAGACAACUAAUUUCACCUCUGACUCAGUUCAUACUGAUGUUUUUUAUCUUUGGCUCCUCCAUCUCUAAAGUCUUCCUUUGCAUCAAGAGCUAAGGCUUCAACUUUUGUUUUUAUCAAAAAAACAAACGAACCAAAACACAAUCUGCUUUAAGAACUCUUAGGCCUCCCGGAGAAGUCCAGUGAAAAUGAGAAGACUGCAUGCAGUUUGUCUGAGGAUUGACUGUAAAAAUAAGCAUACUAACUAUACAGCUCUUAAAUGCUAAUCUCUGCAAUAGAAAACCUGGAAGAAAAUACUUGUCUGCUUUGCAUCGCAUCCUCAGUGUUUCUGUGGGAAAAUAUAACAAUCUCCUUUCAGAAUUAAUAGUAGUAUCCAUUUUAGAUACUUCUAGCAAUCAUAAUGAACUGUACAGCUACACAAGUGCUUUGUCCUUUAUACAGGAUAUUUCCAAAAGGAAAGUCGAAAACGAAACUGUAUAAAUGAAAAUGAAGAACAUUCAAGAAGGCAUAAUCAUAUCCUAAUAGUAAUUUUAACUUCUUUGGCCAAAAUGAAGUCUCAGAAUCACAAACGUUGAGUUGAGUAAACAUGGCUCUUGCAUUGUGUUGAGCCCUCUAGGCUUGAUUUGAAAUGAAUAGAAGUUGAAUAGUCACUGAAAAUCUUUCUCAAGUAAUACUUGUGUCAGGUACGAUGCUUCAAACAAAGGAUUUAGAUCCCAGAUAAAACAUGAAUAUUCAGGGCAUAAAGUGCAAUUAUUGUCAAUCUCAAUUAAAAAAAUAAUUGAACUGAAGUUAGAGACACUGAGUGAGCUGAUGAUACUGUAUAGCAUCCUUUUAUUGUAAGCAAAAACCUGGGUGGAAUAGAAAACAACCAGUAAAUUAGAACUUAUGUUACAGUAUUCAGGAUCUUUGUGUAACGUGCCUAUAGACUUAAGUACCUUUACCUCUUAAGUCUCCUGUUCAAAGAAAAGAAGAAAAAUAUGAUGUUGGUGACAUUAACAUAGGUUGAUGAUCUUUCAUUAUUUAUUUACAGAAACCAAAUAGUCACAAAAAUUAGAAAGUUUUGCUAACAAAUAUCAAAAUAGCAGAUCUGUGCAGCAUCUAUUUCAUUUUAUUGUCUAGUGCUGUAUUGACGCACCUAUCAGCACAGUAUUGAACUCUGAGGCAGUAACGGUAGGAGGACUGUAAGGGAUGAAAAUAGAAGAUGCAGAGAAGAGAACGAAGAGGUAUGCUUUAUUUUCCUAAUAAUUUUAUUAAUUUUCCAUUCCUUUUUCUCACGUGCUAUAAUGCUCAGUUUGUAGGACUGCAAUUAAUUGAUCAAUAGCCUUAAAAAUAAAGAGGCUUGUUUUUGUUAAUUGUGUGAGGAAGUUUAGGAAAGAAAAUAUGUGGUAACAUCACCACGUAGACCAGGGCAGCCUGCUCUAACGGUUGGCGACCCUGCACGUGGCAGGGGGUUUGAAACUAUAUCAUUAUGGUCCUUUUCAACCCAGGCCAUUCUACGAUUCUAUGAUCUUGUUUCUGUCUUGGAAACAGAGCCCCUGUUUUAAGUUCGGCUUUAUUGCUGUUAUUCCAUACCAUUCACUGAUGUAGUGAUACAACGCAGCAGAAGGGAUUGCAACCAAAGAUAUGGAAGGAAACAGCAGGAAAAAAUCUUGUUUCCAUAAAAUGACCUUAAUUCAAACAAACAAACAAAAAAACAACAAAGAAAAGGUCUGAGGAAAGAAGAAAGGAAAUACCGAUACAGAACUCACAGAAACAGAUUGCUUUUUUAUGACUGUAUUUAUAGCACUUACCAUGAGUAGCAAUUUCAGUGGAAAAAGAGUUUCUUAAUACUGUUUUUUGCAAAACUGAGUUUGUUGUGGUGUCUAUAAAUAACAGUAUUUAUAGAUAUGGGAAUAAUAUUGAAAGAUUUUAUGCAUGACAUUGUUCCUUUAAUAUGUAUAUCAUUUCCUAUCGGAACCUUAUCUAAUCUUCUCUUUUAAAAUUCAAUUUAUC